rnacentral:rRNA from 1 species
CACGUAGGGCGCCAGCGUUGUCCGGAAUUAUUGGGCGUAAAGAGCUCGUAGGCGGUCUGUUGCGUCCGCUGUGAAAACUCGGGGCUUAACCCCGAGCCUGCAGUGGAUACGGGCAGACUAGAGGUAGGUAGGGGAGAAUGGAAUUCCCGGUGUAGCGGUGAAAUGCGCAGAUAUCGGGAGGAACACCGGUGGCGAAAGCGGCUCACUGGACCAUAACUGACGCUGAUGCACGAAAGCUAGGGGAGCAAACAGG